UUUUAGAAUUUAAUUUAAAGUCUAACCUGCCCACUGAGUUUUUUAAAUGGCCGCAGUAUUUUAACUGUGCAAAGGUAGCAUAAUCAUUAGUCUUUUAAUUGAAGGCUGGAAUGAAGGGUUGAAUGAAAUAUUAACUGUUUCAAUUUAAUUUAUAAUAAAAUUUUAUUUUUUAGUGAAAAAGCUAAAAUAUAAUUAAAAGACGAGAAGACCCUAUAAAUCUUUAUACUUAAUUAAUUUUAAUUAUAUUGAAAAUUUAAAUUAUUAUUUAAUUAAGUUAUUUUAUUGGGGUGAUAUUAAAAUUUAAAAAACUUUUAAUUUAUAAUUAACAUUAAUUAUUGAGUUAUUGAUCCAUAAAUUAUGAUUAUAAAAAUAAGUUACUUUAGGGAUAACAGCGUAAUUUUUUUAGAGAGUUCAUAUUGAUAAAAA
rnacentral:rRNA from 1 species